rnacentral:rRNA from 1 species
CCUACGGGCGGCAGCAGUGGGGAAUAUUGGACAAUGGGGGCAACCCUGAUCCAGCCAUGCCGCGUGUGUGAAGAAGGCCCUCGGGUUGUAAAGCACUUUCAGUGAGGAAGAACGCCUGGUGGUUAAUACCCAUCAGGAAAGACAUCACUCACAGAAGAAGCACCGGCUAACUCCGUGCCAGCAGCCGCGGUAAUACGGAGGGUGCGAGCGUUAAUCGGAAUUACUGGGCGUAAAGCGCGCGUAGGUGGCUUGAUAAGCCGGUUGUGAAAGCCCCGGGCUCAACCUGUGAACGGCAUCCGGAACUGUCAAGCUAGAGUGCAGGAGAGGAAGGUAGAAUUCCCGGUGUAGCGGUGAAAUGCGUAGAGAUCGGGAGGAAUACCAGUGGCGAAGGCGGCCUUCUGGACUGACACUGACACUGAGGUGCGAAAGCGUGGGUAGCAAACAGGAUUAGAUACCCGUGUAGUC